rnacentral:rRNA from 1 species
UACGUAGGGUCCGAGCGUUGUCCGGAGUUACUGGGCGUAAAGCGCGCGUAGGCGGGUCUCUAAGUCUGGUGUGAAAGGUUCAGGGCUCAACCCGAAGAGUGCACUGGAUACUGGAGACCUUGAGUUGGGCAGAGGAGAGUGGAAUUCCUGGUGUAGCGGUGAAAUGCGUAGAUAUCAGGAGGAACACCGAUGGCGAAGGCAGCUCUCUGGGCCCAAACUGACGCUCAGGUGCGAAAGCGUGGGGAGCGAACGGG